GGUGGCGCAAUGGGUCAGUUCAUCUGGUUAUCAACCAAAAGGAUGGUGGUUCAAGCCCACCCAGGGACA